rnacentral:rRNA from 1 species
GACGUAGGGCGCGAGCGUUGUCCGGAUUUAUUGGGCGUAAAGAGCUCGUAGGCGGCUUGUUGCGUCGACUGUGAAAACCUGCGGCUCAACCGUGUGGUCUGCAGUCGAUACGGGCAGGCUGGAGUUCGGUAGGGGAGACUGGAAUUCUUGGUGUAGCGGUGAAAUGCGUAGAUAUCAAGAGGAACACCUGCGGCGAAGGCGGGUUGCUGGGCCGACACUGACGCUGAGGCGCGAAAGCUAGGGGAGCGAACAGG